rnacentral:misc_RNA from 1 species
AGUUAUGGGGGUUCAUGUGGGUAUGAUCUUAGCCAAGCAGUACGUGAUAGCGUGUGAGUGGUAGUCUGUUUGUUUGGGUGGUGGGCUCUCUGCUUGUGCACUGAACCAUUUUACUAGAAAACCUCUUCAUAGUUUGCUCCAAGUGCAUCAUGUGCCUUGGGCAAUAGGGGGUCCCUAUGUUGAAUUCCUAAUGACGGUAUUGAUGUUAUCCCAUGAAAGUGUGACUUUCGCUUUACAUCCUUAACGGGUUGUCGAGCGGACAAUGAAACUUGGUCUGUUAUCCACCCAUCACGCGAAAACAAGCACGAUGGGACUGGAUCAUGGUCUAAAGUUGGGCUAUUGGAUGCAGAAUGUUGUAUGGGAGUCGAUGUGAAGUCAUCGCACACCCAACCUAGCGUUGUACGCUAAGGAUGGAUGACAUUCGAGUGCGAGUUGACCCUCUCUUGAUUAGAAGGGCUCAUGCGUGCUGAUGUCGACCUAGGAGUGCUACCUGGUUGAUCCUG